AUGGCGCGCGCCGGGACCCUGCUGCUGCUGAUGUCACUGCAGUUAGUCCUGAUCAUCUCUGCGCAGAGGGGGCCAGUUGGUCCAAGAGGACCACCUGGACCUCCAGGGCCUGCUGGGUUUCAUGGGGUUGACGGCAUUGAUGGUGACAGGGGACCUGGCCCUGGCCCAGAUGGCCCCCCAGGCCCUGAUGGAGACAAUGGCAAGGAUGGAUUAAAUGGCCUUCCGGGAAAACCAGGAGCGGAUGUGAGUCUUGUUCUUUAUUUUUUGUAAAGGUCUAGAAACGAGAUAAAAUAAGCCUUACUUUUCUAAGUUACACUUGCAGCAUCAGAGCCUGUGAGUAUAGUUUGCAUUGGAGGGUCUGACUGAGUGAAAAAAAAGCUCCUGGAUGGAAAAAAGAACCAGGAAGGC
ensembl:lncRNA